UACGUAUGGUGCAAGCGUUAUCCGGAUUUACUGGGCGUAGAGGGAGCGCAGGCGGCGCGCCAAGUCUGAUGUGAAACCCCGGGGCUCAACCCCGGGCAUGCAUUGGAAACUGGCGGGCUGGAGUGCCGGAGAGGUAAGCGGAAUUCCUAGUGUAGCGGUGAAAUGCGUAGAUAUUAGGAGGAACACCAGUGGCGAAGGCGGCUGUCUGGCCUGUAACUGACGCUGAGGCACGAAAGCGUGGGGAGCAAAUAGG
rnacentral:rRNA from 1 species